rnacentral:tRNA from 2 species
GGGGGUGAUUAGCUCAGCUGGGAGAGCACCUCCCUUACAAGGAGGGGGUCGGCGGUUCGAUCCCGUCAUCACC